rnacentral:lncRNA from 10 species
AUAUGAUCGGAUCUCUCUCUCUCUCUCUCUCUUUUUCUCUCUCACUGGCUGCUCCAUGCAGAAUGGAUUAGAGUGUGGCUGGGCAAAUGGAGAGGUGGUGGGAACAGUGAAAAAGCCUUUGCAGUAGCACAGUCAGGCGAUGACAGUGGCUGGGCCAAGGAGGUGAAGCUGAAAAUGAAAGCAAAUCUGAGUGGGAGGCAGAAGUGAUCCUGUUAACAACAACUGCCCACUCCAGAUGAGAAGAAGUUUUGUGGUGAAGUGAUAAAUCCUGUGCUGUGCAUGUUUACAUCCUGAAGCUACUUGGGAGUGUGCCUUCCUCUAGUCUUCUUGGCAUACCAACACCAUUAAGUGCUAACAUUUGGAGGAAAACAUCAAGAAGGACUUGCUUAAGUAACAACCUUAGUGGGAAAAUGCCAGUGGAAUUUCAUGAGUAUGACUGGCAGUGCCUGCGAGGAGGAGAGCUGCGAGGAGGAGAAGGAUGAGAUACUUUUGGUUAGAUGCAGAAAUAGCAGCUCAGAGAGGCAAGUGACCUGCCCAAGGCCCCAGGAACCAGGUCUAGAGGGACCCUGGUGUGUCUUUGCCUGAGAGAUGGAGCUGUCUGUUCCCGGCAUGGCCUGGAGGGGAAGAAGACCGUGGAAGGGAGAGGGCAGGGAGCUGCCUCACCUGCUAACUCUUCUCGAUUGAACCAGCUCUUCGCUUGGGAAUUUGACUGCAAUAUGACUUCUCAGGACACCAGACAUCCUAGCCUUAAAGAGGGCACAGGUACAUUUUCCUAGGCCAAAUUAAUAUGGAUUUUGAAUUAUCUCCUGUUGUUCAGAAAGAUCCUCCCUGCAUUGGUGGUUUUGACAUUUCCCAGGCUCCAAGAGCCAUGGAUCUCCUCUGAGAGCUGCACUGGAGAAGGUUCUGAAAGUCUUCUUUACAUCUCUAACCAGACAGGUCCUUAGGAAACUCCUCCAGCAAGCACUGACCCCUUCACAGCCAGUCCUGUGUCGGACUCUGAGGUAAAGACACCACCCAGUUGCUGCCCUCAGAAUCAACCUAGCCCUUGCUUCUCUCACAAGAGUGAAACUUGGAGGCAUUAAUAUAUAUUUUUGUUCUGCAAAACUUUAAAGAAUAAAACAUUAGAAAUAAAACUAUAACAAUCAUCCAUGUGCCUGCCACCCAGAUUUAUUGUUUUUUAAAGAAGUAAAACAUAAAUAUAGUUAAAAUUCCUUGUGUAUCCCUCCCAGUCCCAAUCCUCCCUCAGAGGCAAGCACUGUGGUGAAGCUUGUUACUGUUCUACAUGUAUUUCACAGUUUUAUUAUAUAUUCAUAUGCACAUAGCACAUAAACUUAAAAGACAUAAACUCAUACUGUAUAUAAAUUAAAUUUUACACUUAAUAUAAAUAUAAUUUAUAUAUUACACAUUACAAAAAGUUGUUUAUGUACUGCAUAAGCUUUACAUUUAAAUAUUAUACUUAGUCAAAAAUAAACUAUAUAUUUACAUAAAUAUAAACUAACAUUUAUAUACCGUAUGUCUAACAUUAACGUUUAUACUGUGUAUAGUGUGUAUAAAUUAAAAUGUACAAAAUUAGCUUCAAACCCUUCACAUAAUGAUGGUCUAACUUGCCUUUUGUCCAACACAAUAUAUUUUUAUUUCUAUUCAUUUUGAUGCAUCUUGAUUCCCUUCAUUCAUUCCAACUGCAGUGGAGUUUUCCAUUAUUGGAAUAUGUCACAAAUAAUUUAUGACUGUCCUAUGAUUUGCAAAGUACACUUGUUUGAAAUUUCCUAUGACUACAAACAAUGCUGCCACACAUUCUGUGGCUGUUUUCUUGUGUACACAUGCGAGUGAUUUUAGGACAGAUACAUAGAAGUGGAUGCUUCCCCUUUACCAGGUAUUGUCAGUUGUUUUUAAAAGAUGUCUGCGUGUGCACUGUCACACCAGCAGCAUAAGAGGCUCCUAUUUCUCUGCAUUCUUGCUGCCACCAGGCCAUGUUGAUCUUGAACUUUGUUGUUAAUUGGAUGGAAGUGAAAUGGUAUCUCAUUGGUGUUUCACUUGUUUCCCGACUAUUCAUGAAGUUGACAAUCUUUUCAUGGAUAUUGACCCUCCGGGUUUCUGCUUCUGUGAAAUGCCUUUUCAUAGUUUUUGCCUAUUUUUCUCUCUUGGGUUAUUUAUCUUUCCCUUAUUAAUCUGUAGGAGUUCUUAAAAUAUUCAGGUUUUUAAUCCUUUGUUGGUUGUGAGCAUUCACCAUGCUUCUCCUGGUCUGUGACUUGUCUUUGAAUUUUGUUUAUAAUGU